rnacentral:rRNA from 1 species
GAUGAACGCUAGCUACAGGCUUAACACAUGCAAGUCGAGGGGUAACAAGAGGAAAGCUUGCUUUUCUUGUUGACGACCGGCGCACGGGUGAGUAACGCGUAUCCAACCUGCCUAUAACUAGGGAAUAACCUUGCGAAAGUAAGACUAAUACCCUAUGAUUUCCUUUGAUGACAUCAGAUUAGGAAUAAAGAUUUAUCGGUUAUAGAUGGGAUGCGUCUGAUUAGCUUGUUGGCGGGGUAACGGCCCACCAAGGCAACGAUCAGUAGGGGUCCUGGGGGGAAGGUCCCCCACAUUGGAACUGAGACACGGUCCAAACUCCUACGGGAGGCAGCAGUGAGGAAUAUUGGUCAAUGGGCGGAAGCCUGAACCAGCCAAGUAGCGUGCAGGAUGACGGCCCUAUGGGUUGUAAACUGCUUUUAUACAGGAAUAAAGUUAGCCACGUGUGGUUAUUUGUAGGUACUGUGUGAAUAAGGACCGGCUAAUUCCGUGCCAGCAGCCGCAGUAA